rnacentral:lncRNA from 1 species
UCCUAAAUUUAUUCUAUUAUAUAUAUAUACUAUCGAUAGCACCAAGCACUUGGUGCUAUCGAAUUUUUCGCCGUUAGAUUUAACCUUUUGAUUAUUUUCAUCCGUUCGAUUAUACUAUUCAACCAACAACUCACUCAACCCUGGAGGGCCUACAUCAUCCUAACCGUACAUUUCUUCAUCCAAUGGCCGAAAAAUUAAUAGCACCAACAGCUUGGUGCUAUUGAUAGCAUUCCAGCCUAGUUCUAUAUAUACAGAGAGAGUCCGAUUAUUAUAUUCUUAUGAGUACGAUUAUUCUCGUACUCAUAAGUCGUUUUCGAUGAUAGAACUUCCGAAUCGACCAUCUAUACCGUUAAAUAUUAUUUAGAGUAUUUAAAACUUCUAAAAAUCAAAUUUUAUUAUUUUUCGAUAUCAUUUACUUUACGAUCAAAAGCUCAUAAAAUUGAUAAUUUUUAACGGCCCGGUAUGAAAUACUUGCUAGUUUAAUGGUGUAAAAAAAUCAGAAUACGUUGAUUUUUUGAUAGAAAAUUCUAUUUACUACCUAAAUAAAGAACAAUAACUCUAAUCUUAAAUUGAAUGAUCCGAUCAUCCAUUUUUAGGAUGUUAUUCGAUUUUGACCGUUCAUUUUAUGCCUUCUUGAUAGACUUUACUAUGAUUUCGAAAAAUUAUGAAAUUUAUUUUUCAGAAGUUUCAAGUGCUUUAAGUCAUAUUUAAUGGAGUAGAUCGUCGAUUCGGAAUCUCCAUUAUAAAAAAUAACUUAUGAGUACGAAGGGCUCUAUACUCAUAAGAGUAUAGUAGUCCUACUCUCUCUCUCUCUCUUUUUCUCUCUCUUUCUAUAUAUAUAUAUAUAUAUAUAUAUAUAUAUAUAUAUAUAUAUAUAUAUAUAU